CGAAGAGGACGCCUUUGGGCAAUUCGGCCGGAGCCGACGUCGCCAGCUUGGAGAGAAGGUCAGCCCUAGUAUUUUCCAACCUUGGGAUCUAUCUAAUGUUGAAGCCGCUAAAGGCGGGAGUGAGCUCCUUUACCUUCUCAAGGUAUUUGGCCAUACUGUCCUCCCGCGCUUCGUAAUUCCCGCUGACUUGCCCCACCACCAGUUGAGAGUCACUGUGCACCC
rnacentral:lncRNA from 1 species